UACGGAGGAUGCAAGCGUUAAUCGGAAUUACUGGGCGUAAAGCGUGCGCAGGCGGUUGUGCAAGACAGAUGUGAAAUCCCCGGGCUUAACCUGGGAAUUGCAUUUGUGACUGCACGGCUAGAGUGUGUCAGAGGGGGGUAGAAUUCCACGUGUAGCAGUGAAAUGCGUAGAUAUGUGGAGGAAUACCAAUGGCGAAGGCAGCCCCCUGGGAUAAUAUUGACGCUCAUGCACGAAAGCGUGGGGAGCAAACAGG
rnacentral:rRNA from 1 species